AGAGAGAGAGAGAGAGAGAGUCAUGAAACCAAGAUCACAUUCUUUUCGUAUCAAAUAGCAAUUGUAACUUUUAUUGUAACAAAAGUCAAGAAAGGGGUUUUGGGAGUGGGGUCCAUUGUCUAAAGAAUAAAAUUCUUGUAUCAUAUAGAAAGAUGUAAAUGAAGAACUAAAAUUUAAUCAAAAUUCACAUUUCAAUUUUAAUGCAAAAGAAGCCUGAAAAAUUAUGGCUAUAACUCAACCAAUGCUAAAGAUGCAACAGUUGAUUUAAUUAAUUCCACUUAAUAAAAUGCUUCAAGCGCCCUGCACCUUUGACAACUACACUUGCAGACAUAACCACUUCAUAGAAACCCUCUAGAAGUUGGAAGAGCUAUAGAUGAAAUCCUCAAACCUUACUUACCAAUCUAAUCAAGUCUUAAGGA
rnacentral:misc_RNA from 1 species